rnacentral:rRNA from 1 species
UACGUAGGUGGCAAGCGUUGUCCGGAUUUACUGGGCGUAAAGAGCGCGCAGGCGGUCGUUCAAGUCGCGUGUGAAAGCCCCCGGCUCAACUGGGGAGGGUCACGCGAUACUGAUCGACUCGAAGGCAGGAGAGGGUAGUGGAAUUCCCGGUGUAGUGGUGAAAUGCGUAGAUAUCGGGAGGAACACCAGUGGCGAAGGCGACUGCCUGGCCUGUUCUUGACGCUGAGGCGCGAAAGCUAGGGGAGCA